rnacentral:rRNA from 1 species
ACGCGUUAAGCAUCCCGCCUGGGGAGUACGAGCGCAAGCUUAAAACUCAAAGGAAUUGACGGGGGACCCGCACAAGCGGUGGAUGAUGUGGUUUAAUUCGAUGCUACGCGAAGAACCUUACCCAGGCUUGACAUCCUGCGAACUCCGACGAAAGUCGGAGGUGCCUUCGGGAGCGCAGUGACAGGUGUUGCAUGGCCGUCGUCAGCUCGUGUCGUGAGAUGUUUGGUUAAGUCCAUUAACGAGCGCAACCCUUAUCGUCUGUUACAAUUUCAGGCGAGACUGCCCCGGCCAACGGGGAGGAAGGUGGGGAUGAGGUCAGGUCAGCAUGGCCCUUACGCCUGGGGCUACACACGUCAUACAAUGGCCGGUACAACGCGUUUGCCAACCCGCGAGGGGGAGCUAAUCGUAUCAAAACCGGUCCCAGUUCGGAUUGGAGGCUGCAACUCGCCUCCAUGAAGUUGGAAUCGCUAGUAAACGUGGGUCAGCAUACCACGUUGAAUACGUUCCCGGGUCUUGUACACACCGCCCGUCACACCACGAAAGUUGGGGGUACCCGAAGUGCUUAUUUUGAGCCCUAAGGUAAACUCAGCGAUUGGGGUG